rnacentral:rRNA from 1 species
GGAAAGGCGCGCGAUACAGGGUGACAGCCCCGUACACAAAAAUGCACAUGCUGUGAGCUCGAUGAGUAGGGCGGGACACGUGGUAUCCUGUCUGAAUAUGGGGGGACCAUCCUCCAAGGCUAAAUACUCCUGACUGACCGAUAGUGAACCAGUACCGUGAGGGAAAGGCGAAAAGAACCCCGGCGAGGGGAGUGAAAAAGAACCUGAAACCGUGUACGUACAAGCAGUGGGAGCACGCUUAGGCGUGUGACUGCGUACCUUUUGUAUAAUGGGUCAGCGACUUAUAUUCUGUAGCAAGGUUAACCGAAUAGGGGAGCCGAAGGGAAACCGAGUCUUAACUGGGCGUUAAGUUGCAGGGUAUAGACCCGAAACCCGGUGAUCUAGCCAUGGGCAGGUUGAAGGUUGGGUAACACUAACUGGAGGACCGAACCGACUAAUGUUGAAAAAUUAGCGGAUGACUUGUGGCUGGGGGUGAAAGGCCAAUCAAACCGGGAGAUAGCUGGUUCUCCCCGAAAGCUAUUUAGGUAGCGCCUCGUGAAUUCAUCUCCGGGGGUAGAGCACUGUUUCGGCAAGGGGGUCAUCCCGACUUACCAACCCGAUGCAAACUGCGAAUACCGGAGAAUGUUAUCACGGGAGACACACGGCGGGUGCUAACGUCCGUCGUGAAGAGGGAAACAACCCAGACCGCCAGCUAAGGUCCCAAAGUCAUGGUUAAGUGGGAAACGAUGUGGGAAGGCCCAGACAGCCAGGAUGUUGGCUUAGAAGCAGCCAUCAUUUAAAGAAAGCGUAAUAGCUCACUGGUCGAGUCGGCCUGCGCGGAAGAUGUAACGGGGCUAAACCAUGCACCGAAGCUGCGGCAGCGACGCUGAUGCGUUGUUGGGUAGGGGAGCGUUCUGUAAGCCUGUGAAGGUGUGCUGUGAGGCAUGCUGGAGGUAUCAGAAGUGCGAAUGCUGACAUAAGUAACGAUAAAGCGGGUGAAAAGCCCGCUCGCCGGAAGACCAAGGGUUCCUGUCCAACGUUAAUCGGGGCAGGGUGAGUCGACCCCUAAGGCGAGGCCGAAAGGCGUAGUCGAUGGGAAACAGGUUAAUAUUCCUGUACUUGGUGUUACUGCGAAGGGGGGACGGAGAAGGCUAUGUUGGCCGGGCGACGGUUGUCCCGGUUUAAGCGUGUAGGCUGGUUUUCCAGGCAAAUCCGGAAAAUCAAGGCUGAGGCGUGAUGACGAGGCACUACGGUGCUGAAGCAACAAAUGCCCUGCUUCCAGGAAAAGCCUCUAAGCAUCAGGUAACAUCAAAUCGUACCCCAAACCGACACAGGUGGUCAGGUAGAGAAUACCAAGGCGCUUGAGAGAACUCGGGUGAAGGAACUAGGCAAAAUGGUGCCGUAACUUCGGGAGAAGGCACGCUGAUAUGUAGGUGAAGUCCCUCGCGGAUGGAGCUGAAAUCAGUCGAAGAUACCAGCUGGCUGCAACUGUUUAUUAAAAACACAGCACUGUGCAAACACGAAAGUGGACGUAUACGGUGUGACGCCUGCCCGGUGCCGGAAGGUUAAUUGAUGGGGUCAGCGCAAGCGAAGCUCUUGAUCGAAGCCCCGGUAAACGGCGGCCGUAACUAUAACGGUCCUAAGGUAGCGAAAUUCCUUGUCGGGUAAGUUCCGACCUGCACGAAUGGCGUAAUGAUGGCCAGGCUGUCUCCACCCGAGACUCAGUGAAAUUGAACUCGCUGUGAAGAUGCAGUGUACCCGCGGCAAGACGGAAAGACCCCGUGAACCUUUACUAUAGCUUGACACUGAACAUUGAGCCUUGAUGUGUAGGAUAGGUGGGAGGCUUUGAAGUGUGGACGCCAGUCUGCAUGGAGCCGACCUUGAAAUACCACCCUUUAAUGUUUGAUGUUCUAACGUUGACCCGUAAUCCGGGUUGCGGACAGUGUCUGGUGGGUAGUUUGACUGGGGCGGUCUCCUCCUAAAGAGUAACGGAGGAGCACGAAGGUUGGCUAAUCCUGGUCGGACAUCAGGAGGUUAGUGCAAUGGCAUAAGCCAGCUUGACUGCGAGCGUGACGGCGCGAGCAGGUGCGAAAGCAGGUCAUAGUGAUCCGGUGGUUCUGAAUGGAAGGGCCAUCGCUCAACGGAUAAAAGGUACUCCGGGGAUAACAGGCUGAUACCGCCCAAGAGUUCAUAUCGACGGCGGUGUUUGGCACCUCGAUGUCGGCUCAUCACAUCCUGGGGCUGAAGUAGGUCCCAAGGGUAUGGCUGUUCGCCAUUUAAAGUGGUACGCGAGCUGGGUUUAGAACGUCGUGAGACAGUUCGGUCCCUAUCUGCCGUGGGCGCUGGAGAACUGAGGGGGGCUGCUCCUAGUACGAGAGGACCGGAGUGGACGCAUCACUGGUGUUCGGGUUGUCAUGCCAAUGGCACUGCCCGGUAGCUAAAUGCGGAAGAGAUAAGUGCUGAAAGCAUCUAAGCACGAAACUUGCC